AAUGAACGCUGGCGGCGUGCGUAACACAUGCAAGUCGAACGAGAAAUUCCGGGCUUGCUCGGGAGAGUAAAGUGGCGAACGGGUGAGUAACGCGUGGGUAACCUGCCCCUGAAUCUGGAAUAACUUCGCGAAAGCGAGGCUAAUACCGGGUAUUGUCCCAGGGACUAUGGUCCUUGUGAUGAAAGAUGACCUCUUCACGAAAGUUGUCGUUCAGGGAGGGGCCCGCGUACCAUUAGCUAGUUGGUAGGGUAAUGGCCUACCAAGGCGAUGAUGGUUAGCUGGUCCGAGAGGAUGACCAGCCACACUGGCACUGAAACACGGGCCAGACUCCUACGGGAGGCAGCAGUGAGGAAUUUUGCGCAAUAGGGGAAACCCUGACGCAGCAACGCCGCGUGAGUGAAGAAGGCCCUCGGGUCGUAAAGCUCUGUCAAGUGGGAAAAAAGCUUACUGGUGAAUGGCCAGGAAGACUGAUGGUACCAUUGAAGGAAGCACCGGCUAACUCCGUGCCAGCCGCCGCCGUAA
rnacentral:rRNA from 1 species